rnacentral:rRNA from 1 species
GAUGAACGCUGGCGGCGUGCCUAAUACAUGCAAGUCGAGCGAACGGACGAGAAGCUUGCUUCUCUGAUGUUAGCGGCGGACGGGUGAGUAACACGUGGAUAACCUACCUAUAAGACUGGGAUAACUUCGGGAAACCGGAGCUAAUACCGGAUAAUAUUUUGAACCGCAUGGUUCAAAAGUGAAAGACGGUCUUGCUGUCACUUAUAAAUGGAUCCGCGCUGCAUUAGCUAGUUGGUAAGGUAACGGCUUACCAAGGCAACGAUGCAUAGCCGACCUGAGAGGGUGAUCGGCCACACUGGAACUGAGACACGGUCCAGACUCCUACGGGAGGCAGCAGUAGGGAAUCUUCCGCAAUGGGCGAAAGCCUGACGGGGCAACGCCGCGUGAGUGAUGAAGGUCUUCGGAUCGUAAAACUCUGUUAUUAGGGAAGAACAUAUGUGUAAGUAACUGUGCACAUCUUGACGGUACCUAAUCAGAAAGCCACGGCUAACUACGUG